UGCGGAUGGAGCUGAGACCAGUCGAAGAUACCAGCUGGCUGCAACUGUUUAUUAAAAACACAGCACUGUGCAAACACGAAAGUGGACGUAUACGGUGUGACGCCUGCCCGGUGCCGGAAGGUUAAUUGAUGGGGUUAUCCGUAAGGAGAAGCUCUUGAUCGAAGCCCCGGUAAACGGCGGCCGUAACUAUAACGGUCCUAAGGUAGCGAAAUUCCUUGUCGGGUAAGUUCCGACCUGCACGAAUGGCGUAAUGAUGGCCAGGCUGUCUCCACCCGAGACUCAGUGAAAUUGAACUCGCUGUGAAGAUGCAGUGUACCCGCGGCAAGACGGAAAGACCCCGUGAACCUUUACUAUAGCUUGACACUGAACAUUGAGCCUUGAUGUGUAGGAUAGGUGGGAGGCUUUGAAGCGUGGACGCCAGUCUGCGUGGAGCCAACCUUGAAAUACCACCCUUUAAUGUUUGAUGUUCUAACGUUGGCCCCUUACCGGGGUUGCGGACAGUGUCUGGUGGGUAGUUUGACUGGGGCGGUCUCCUCCCAAAGCGUAACGGAGGAGCACGAAGGUUAGCUAAUCCUGGUCGGACAUCAGGAGGUUAGUGCAAUGGCAUAAGCUAGCUUGACUGCGAGCGUGACGGCGCGAGCAGGUGCGAAAGCAGGUCAUAGUGAUCCGGUGGUUCUGAAUGGAAGGGCCAUCGCUCAACGGAUAAAAGGUACUCCGGGGAUAACAGGCUGAUACCGCCCAAGAGUUCAUAUCGACGGCGGUGUUUGGCACCUCGAUGUCGGCUCAUCACAUCCUGGGGCUGAAGUAGGUCCCAAGGGUAUGGCUGUUCGCCAUUUAAAGUGGUACGCGAGCUGGGUUUAGAACGUCGUGAGACAGUUCGGUCCCUAUCUGCCGUGGGCGCUGGAGAAUUGAGGGGGGCUGCUCCUAGUACGAGAGGACCGGAGUGGACGCAUCACUGGUGUUCGGGUUGUCAUGCCAAUGGCACUGCCCGGUAGCUAAAUGCGGAAGAGAUAAGUGCUGAAAGCAUCUAAGCACGAAACUUGCCCCGAGAUGAGUUCUCCCUGAGACUUUAAGUCUCCUGAAGGAACGUUGAAGACGACGACGUUGAUAGGCCGGGUGUGUAAGCGCAGCGAUGCGUUGAGCUAACCGGUACUAAUGAACCGUGAGGCUUAACCUU
rnacentral:rRNA from 1 species